CUUUUCAAAGCAUGAAAGGGUAUUGUAAUCUUUUUCGAAAAUUGUAUUGGCCUUGAAAACUGCAUGUCCAUUUAAUGUUUUUUUUCCAAUUGAGGCCAUCAAGUACUGUGUACAAUCUGCAGAUUUUUAGAAACCAUCCGAAAGACGUCGAUACGAUAAUUGGCCGUCUAAAAGGCAGUCUUUUAAGUGGCAGUCCAAAUUCUAUAAUGUCGGUCCAUAAGACAACAGGACAGCAGGGUAUAGCUAACACCGUGCUUUGCAUUGUUAGCGGCAGGGAAUAAUUUGAAUCUUGACUUCGCCUUUUUAUGUAUGGCUAUCGUUUUCACUGGACGUCUAUAUUAUCAGUGGGCUAUACUAGUAAUAUAGUAUGCAAAUAAUUUGUUUUAUAUGACACCAUUUUGCAAAUAAUUUGUUUUAUAUGAUUCCAAAAUACUGCAAAUAGAUAGAUUUUAUCGGAUUUUUUAGUAUUAAAUACAUACCUUGUUCAAGAAUAAUUAAAAUCCAACAAAACGGUGAAUUAAUAUGAUAAUGGAGAUCAUUUAUCGUAAAAAUUAUCGAUAUUGUAUUUUUACACCUGCCAGUUUGCUUCGCAUAAGUUAUGUUCUAUCGGGCUCAGUAUGAAAAUUAUGGAUUUUGGAUGACUGCAUUUAAUUAAACCUUACCGUGCGAUAGUACUCGUACCAUUGCAUGGCCGAGCGUGCUAUUGCACGCGUUCCAUUGCACGAUAGCAAAAUGGUAAUUUUAAUUCCAUAUCACGUGAUCGUAAUCAGCCAAUUAAAUGACCAGAACUUAAUGAGGUGUUAAAAAAUAAAUAACAUAACCCACCGCCCAAUGAUUACUGACGAACUCCCAUGCAUUAUGGCCUAAGGUAAGAAUAGUUCAAAUACUAGAAAUACAUGCAUUCGGCAACCCCCAAAACUCAAUCAAUCUUAGUUGCUCUGUCACGACAGUGCUAAAAAGUAGGAUAAGUAAAAAACGCUUUUCAUUGUGGG